rnacentral:rRNA from 1 species
GGUGAACGUUGGCGGUGCGCCUAAUACAUGCAAGUCGAGCGAGAAAGUCCAAACCCGCAAGGGGGAGGGCGAGUACAGCGGCGAACUGGUGAGUAACACGUGAUCAACCUACCUCUCCGACAGGGACAACCUUUGGAAACAAAGGCUAAUACCUGAUGGCGUUGCUUGCCCACAAGGGCGAGCAAAUAAAGGGGCGUUUGCUCCGCGGGGAGAUGGGGUUGCGGCCCAUCAGCUAGUUGGUAGGGUAACGGCCUACCAAGGCGAUGACGGGUAGGGGGCCUGAGAGGGCGAACCCCCACAUGGGGACUGAGAUACGGCCCUGACUCCUACGGGAGGCAGCAGUGGGGAAUCUUCCGCGAUGGACGAAAGUCUGACGGAGCAACGCCGCGUGAGUGAAGAAGGUUUUCGGAUCGUAAAACUCUGUUGUCAGGGAAGAACAAGUACCAUAGUAACUGAUGGUACCUUGACGGUACCUGACCAGAAAGCCACGGCUAACUACGUGCCAGCCGCCGCCGUAAAAC